AGGUGUCUGGCUUCACGGCCAGACUUAAUAGGGAAUCAGGUGAGAAUCCUGAACAGUCCCGCUGCUGUAAGUUUCUACCACAGCUGCCCAUUACGCCACUGACGAAACACGUUGGGAAGGCGGGUAGCCGAAACGAGUCAGAAGACCUGCCUGUUUGUA
rnacentral:ncRNA from 1 species